CAAACCAUAAUGUCGAAUAAAACCACAACAGUUUUUUCUAGUGAUUUCAAACUUUUGCAGUACCGAAUAUAUAUCAUUUAUUCAUUGUAUUGAAUUGUGUUAUUUGUAAAAUUAUCCUGAGUGUAAACUAGAUCUUGCUGGAUUACUCUUCGGGGGACGCUUCAACAAGGCAGAAUUGGACACCAAAUAUAACACCUAGACUAAUCGUCAUGAUAAUAAGUAUCAGGACAUAGUGAAAAUUACCGAUGCAGUAAGCUCAAUGCAUCUUCAAGCUCUCGUGAGGCUAUUUGCAAAAAUCAUAUCUUCGAAAAUCUUGUACCCGGUAAAACAUGUUGGGAAGAAAUAAGGCUCUUUGAGGAUCAAAAUUUGGCUGGCUGUGCGAAUGCGGUUCGAUCAAUAGCUGUGAUUUCGAAUGACACGCACUUUAUGAUUUUUGAAGGGGCUUGGCGUCUGAAGAUUUUGAUUUGGAAAUGAUGGAUUAUCCUGCACCAGUGCCAGGUUCAACAAUUGAUCAUGCAGGAUAGAGAUGGGCAAAACAUUUCAUUUCAAAGAGGCGUUAAGUGAUGCAGAGUUCUAUUAAAAGAACUAGUUAUGUUUGCUUGUUGAAUAACUAACCUGAGGUUUCGCAAUAAACUGUUUUCUACCGUUCUCGAAAAAGACGGGGCGAUAAAAAAAUAUAAGGUCCACAACUAUAAACUGAAGAACUAUCGUUCUAGAAAAAAGAACUGUUGGUCAUUAAUACUUUCAAAAGAACUAUUUCUUUUGAACCGAUCGCGAACGAAUCGCUUAUCUCUAAUGCAGGGUAACGGAGAUAUUUUAGCCACUAAUAUAUUUUGGUCCAGCGUACAUAUUUCUGAAAAUAAUCAAAAUGAAGUACAUCGUGACCCAAAAUUUUAAAGAUGUUUCCAUUCGUAAACAUGUUAGCUAUGAAUAUGUACUCCAUUUUGAUUACAACCAAAAAUAUGAGCGCCAGUCCAAAAUAUAUUAGAGUAAUCAAAAUAUUUCCAUUAGCCUAUUUCUUAG